rnacentral:lncRNA from 1 species
AUGGCAGAUCGUUUCUGGGUCCCGAACUCCCAGAAGUCUGACUGGAAGCAAGGGCUAUCAAACACCCGCUUGGCUCGGACAGGCGGCACUGCUCGUUUGUCUGCGCCGCCGUUUCCUGGGCGACCACGCAAGUCCACGCCUCGCCUACUGGGUGUGGAUGGCCGCGGUUGCCAUGACAGCUGGGAGUCCUGGGGUUGGACAGCCGGGGCGGCGGGACUACGUUUCCCUACAGCCCCCGCGAGGGCUCCGGCUCUCCGGCGGAGGCACAGUGCCGCGACGGACCGUAGGCAGAGGGAAGAAGGCUUCGUGCUGCGUGCGAGGCGGGGACCAGGGCACCCGUGCGGGCCGCCCCUCAAGCUGAUCACUGACUGUCAGCAAAUGUGUCCCAUUGUGGUUGCGAUGUCCAAGGGCAAAAUAAUCCACCAGAGACUGUUGGGAGCAGCAUCCUGAAAAGAACCACAUCUGGUUACUCUGAAGUGUCCUUGGCUGAGAAAGCGUAGAGAGAUUUGGUUAAAUGCUUCCUGAUUCUUUUCAGUUCCAAGCCAACUUAUUGCAGGUCACCGGUGCCCCUGGGCACCUGCUUUUUAGGAAUUAGCAAAAAUGACAGAAAAGCAACAGUCGGUCGAGGAAGAGUUGGUGAAAACGGUUUCAUCGAAUAGACUCAAAUUUCUGGAACUUUUGAUAAAGGAAUAUCUGUCUACAUUCCACAGAAAAGGGAACAGAAUGAAAGAACAAGAGCCCGAGCCCUCGUGCUCAGUGAAGUAUUGAUUUAGUGCACUUAUAUACUCAAACUCCAGAGGCUGUGCUGGGCAAGUCCAUAUUUGUUCUGGAAGUAGCAAGAACUUAGGAAGAAUUCUCAUUCUUACCGUGGACUCUUUUUUUUUUUUUUUUUUUUAAUAAAAAGUUUUUUCAAGUUUAUUUUUGUGAGAGAGAGACAGAACGUAAGUGGGAGAGGGGCAGAGAGAGAAGGAGACACAGAAUCUGAAGCAGGCUCCAGGCCCUGAGCUGUCAGCACAGAGCCUGAUGCAGGUCUCAGACUUGUGAACCAGGAAAUCAUGACCUGAGACGAAGUCGGAGGUUUAACCAACUGAGCCACCAAGGUACCCCUACCAUGAACUCUUUAACAGGUCAAUCCUCUCUUAGUGACUGUCAUUGAUCAGUAACCUAAUCAACAUGCAAGUCCUCUUCUUCCUCCUUUCCAUAUUCCUACCCAUCAGGUGGGCCUUCUCUGUCUGACCCUUCCAUGUAUGUUUGCUGCACAUCAGAUUCACUCCCCCCGCUCUGCAUAUUUUAGUUAUGGCCCGCCAAGUGAACCCCUACCCAGAUGGGACUGUUCUGAGCUGCAUGUGUAUUAGAUUCCAGGCUAAACUUUCAUAGUUUUGUUUAAUCUGAAUGGCAUCUUGAUGCACAUACUGUGUUUUCCCAGUAAACCAUAUGAAGAGCUCAGAAAAAGCCACUGUUGUAGGGAGAAUAAUGCACCCCACCUUCCUCAAAAGAUGUAUGUGUCCUAGUCCCUAGAACCUAUGAAUAUGUUAUUUCACACAACAAAAGGGACUAUAAGGUGUGAUAAUGGAUCUUGAUGCGGGACAUUAUCCUGGCUUAUUUAUGAUGGGCCCAAUGUAAUCAAACAUCUUUGUAUAAGAAGAGGCAGGAGGGGCAGAAUCUGAUGUUUCACUGCUGGCUCUGAAGAUGGAAGACAGGGCCACAAGACAAGGAAAGUAGGUGGGAUCUAGAAUCUAGAAAAGGCAAGCAAACAGAUCCUGCCUUUGAGCCUCCAGAAGGAAGCAACGCUGCUGAAACCUUGCUUUAUGUGAGAUAACAAAUUUGCAUUGUUUUAAGCCACUAAAUUUGUGAUUUGUUAUAGCAGCAAUGGAAAACUAACAGCCACAGUGGCAUUUGGAAAUAGUCAUAGCAGGCAUCAGGCCUUCUUGGUGUUGGUUGUUGCUGGAGUGAGCAGAGCCCCUCCAUUCAGCUGUUUGCAUUUACAUUUACCAUACCCGUUUUGUGGGUAUACCCAAAGACAACUCAAUCUUUUACAGAAACCUAGAACAUGUAUUCUGGAGAGACAUUCUAUUAUUGAAAAAUCAAUCCUUGGUAGACAUAAGAGGAUUUAUGAAGGAGGUAAACUCUACCACUGGUCACCAUGCCAUGAAUGACCUGUAACCAUCAACAGGUUUUGAUCUGAAAACAUUCAAACCAAAGAAAAACCCAUUGGUAUGAUAUAUGUAAUAAAAUUUCCCAUCAAGCCUCAACACAAGAGAAUUCUUUUUGGGGAGAACCUAGGAAUGUGACCAGGUGGGCUCAGUUCCACUUCAGUGACACAGCUUACUGCCUUACUGACUGAAAACACUAAAACUAACUCCUGCCCAAACCAUGCUUCACAGGUUGGCUAGGGCACUACUCAUUACAUUCACUGUCACUCAUCAGGGUCCCUGACAAUGGAACAGCCACUAUCUCCAACAUAGCUGGACACUAAUAUGAAAGAUAGAAAAGGAAUUCUCGGGGUCUCACACCUCUUAAUUGAAAGUGUAGCCCAUCAGCUGCAGGGUACUUCUUCUCACCGCUCACUGGCCAGAAUGAAUCACAUGACAGGGUCUCUCAUGAGGCUGUAGUCCUCUGAAGCAUGAUGGGUUCAAGGGUCCACUACCAAGAUGGCUCACUUAUAUGGUUGGCAAGUGGUUCCUGUCUAAAGGGCUUCUCCAUAGAGCUGCUUGAGUGUCUUCAUGACAUGGGAGUUGACUCCCCUCGCCCCCCAGAGCAAGCGAUUCAAGAGUCCGAGUCACACACUGUCACUUAUGCCAUAUUCUACCGGUGACACAGACCAUCCCUGAUUCAAUGUAGGAGAAAACUAUACCAACAAAGGUGUGGCUAUCAGGAGGUGAGGAUUGUUGACAGUCCUCUUGAAUGCUGGUUACUAUACCAUCUAAGUGAGAAGCAUAAGGAAAAGCUUUUGCUGGUAGUCCAACUUCAUCAAGCAUCAGAAAGUCCAUAUGAGCAAGGAGUUGAAUGGCUACUGGAUGGCUAGGAGUAUGGUAGCCUUUGAGUCCAGUCAAAACCAGGGACUUCCUGGGAGACAUUGUGUGUCCUAUGGUACAGAUGGACUAAAAUACCCAACAAUCCCCUUUUCUCUUCCUGCAUCCACAAACCUAUGUUUUUCAGGCUCCCUGAAGUUACCCAGAGCCACGUGAAUGAGUUCUGGCUAAUGGAAUGUGGACAGGAGUGAUGGAUAACAUAAAAUGGCCUACAUCAUCUUUUUCACUUGUUUCAUCAGUCAGCUGGACAGAGGAGAUUCAGCAGAAAAUCCUGAGAAGGACAUAAAGAACAGCAGAGACCCAGGAUAGAAGGAGCUUCUAAAUCAAGGACAAUCUUCUAGGAAGGUCACUUGACCCACUUGAGACUGUGACAUGAGCAAAAAGGAAGUCUAUUGUGUUGAGCCACUGAGAUCCUGGGAUUGUUUGUUAGUGUAGUCACUGUUAUGUGCUGUUAGUGAAUACAUCUUUUUAAAAAACUAAAAUCAUAGAGCUCCUGGCUGGCUCAGUCAGUAGAGCACGUGACUCUUGAUCUUGGGGUCAUGAAUUCAAGCCCUAAGUUGGGCAUGGAGCCUACUUAAGAAAAAAAGAACUAAAAUUGUGACUCUCAUGCAAGUGUAAAAUGAACAUGUGUCAAAGAUUUUGUUUCUUAAUAAGGUGUUACAACCAGUUUUUUGAGGGUGGAAGAAGGGACCAUAAGCAAGAAAUACUAGGAAUGCAGUUUAAAUGUUGAAAAGAGAAGGAUAUGAAUUCUCCCCUAGAACCUCCAGAAAGAGGGUAGCCUUCCUGCCACUCCAAUUUCAGCUCAGUGAUACUGAUUUCAGACUUCAGGCACCCAGAACUGUGAAAGAAUGCAUUUCUGGUAUUUUAAGCCAUCAGGUUUGUGGUAAUAUGUUAUAGCAGCCACAGGAAACUAAUACACUGUCCUUCAUUUCUGCCUCUCUGUGUGGGCUCCAUUCUCUUGACAGGUUCUCCCUUCAUGGAGACACGAAGGCUGCACCUGUACCUGCUGACAGGUAUUCAGGGUUUAAAGUUCCGCAGGAAAUACAAGCCCUAAUAGUUCAGAAAGAAUCCCUGCCCCGUGAAACCCAUAGGUCCAAGUAGGUCAUCUGUGGAUCCUGAGUCAAUCCUGAGGGCCAAGGGGAAUUGGAUGCUGUCUACCUGAGUCAUGCAUUCACACUUGCCCAAACCCAAAUUGAGUGGGGGCAACUGAGAGACUUUUACACAGAAAAGAACGAUCCCAGCUCGGACGUGUU